AGUGUAGAAGACUCGAAUAAAUCGUUUUAGUUUCAAAUUUUAGAAACUAAUUAGUUUUGGGCCGGUUUUUAUGUUUUUCAACCCGGUUGGGAUUAGAACCCUAAUUCCUUGUUUCCUUUAACCUAAGUCAGCGGUGGUACUGUUCACUAUUCCUAUUCACUAUUCACGAAAAUUAGUUUUGAUUUGUUCGAUUCAUGUAGAACUAAUCCCUAAGGAAAAUUCUACUGAUUU
rnacentral:lncRNA from 1 species